rnacentral:rRNA from 1 species
UACGUAGGGCGCAAGCGUUAUCCGGAAUUAUUGGGCGUAAAGAGCUCGUAGGCGGUUUGUCGCGUCUGCCGUGAAAGUCCGGGGCUCAACUCCGGAUCUGCGGUGGGUACGGGCAGACUAGAGUGAUGUAGGGGAGACUGGAAUUCCUGGUGUAGCGGUGAAAUGCGCAGAUAUCAGGAGGAACACCGAUGGCGAAGGCAGGUCUCUGGGCAUUAACUGACGCUGAGGAGCGAAAGCCAGGGGAGCGAGCGGG